AGCCGCGGUAAUACGUAGGGUGUAAGCGUUAUCCGGAAUUAUUGGGCGUAAAGAGCUCGUAGGCGGUUUGUCGCGUCUGCUGUGAAAACUGGAGGCUCAACCUCCAGCCUGCAGUGGGUACGGGCAGACUAGAGUGCGGUAGGGGAGAUUGGAAUUCCUGGUGUAGCGGUGGAAUGCGCAGAUAUCAGGAGGAACACCGAUGGCGAAGGCAGAUCUCUGGGCCGUAACUGACGCUGAGGAGCGAAAGCGUGGGGAGCGAACAGGAUUAGAUACCCUGGUAGUCCACGCCGUAAACGUUGGGAACUAGAUGUAGGGACCAUUCCACGGUUUCUGUGUCGCAGCUAACGCAUUAAGUUCCCCGCCUGGGGAGUACGGCCGCAAGGCUAAAACUCAAAGGAAUUGACGGGGGCCCGCACAAGCGGCGGAGCAUGCGGAUUAAUUCGAUGCAACGCGAAGAACCUUACCAAGGCUUGACAUACACGAGAACGGGCCAGAAAUGGUCAACUCUUUGGACACUCGUGAACAGGUGGUGCAUGGUUGUCGUCAGCUCGUGUCGUGAGAUGUUGGGUUAAGUCCCGCAACGAGCGCAACCCUCGUUCUAUGUUGCCAGCACGUAAUGGUGGGAACUCAUAGGAGACUGCCGGGGUUCAACUCGGAGGAAGGUGGGGAUGACGUCAAAUCAUCCAUGCCCCCUUUAUGUCUUUGGGCCUUCAACGCCAUGCU
rnacentral:rRNA from 1 species